rnacentral:rRNA from 1 species
CGUAGGGUGCGAGCGUUAAUCGGAAUUACUGGGCGUAAAGCGUGCGCAGGCGGUUUUGUAAGACAGGCGUGAAAUCCCCGGGCUUAACCUGGGAACUGCGCUUGUGACUGCAAGGCUAGAGUACGGCAGAGGGGGGUGGAAUUCCACGUGUAGCAGUGAAAUGCGUAGAGAUGUGGAGGAACACCAAUGGCGAAGGCAGCCCCCUGGGUCGAUACUGACGCUCAUGCACGAAAGCGUGGGUAGCAAACAGGAUUAGAUACCCUGGUAGUCCACGCCCUAAACGAUGUCAACUAGGUGUUGGGUGGGUAAAACCAUUUAGUACCGGAGCUAACGCGUGAAGUUGACCGCCUGGGGAGUACGGCCGCAAGGUUA